rnacentral:lncRNA from 1 species
UAUCUCUCUCAAAUGCAGACCAUCUUUCAAAAUUCAAAAUUUAAUAACUUUUUCUUUCUCUCCCUCCAUACGCUGCUUUCUCUCUCUUUUCUGUUUCCUCAAAUUAAAAACCCUAAACACAAUCCAUGGAGAUGCCACAAGAUGAAGAUGUCGUAAGAUUAAGAUUGAAGACACCACAGUCUUCCCAUGAAGACCUUUCUAAUUUCCGAUUUUCAAAGCACAUCUCUCUCUAGAAUGCUCACAAACAAGCUUCGGUCAAUUCUUUUGAAAGAGUUUCAGUUUUAAUGAAAGGUACGAUGGUCAACUUCCGGUGGCAUAUCUUUGACAGCCGCAACAUUUAUGGACAACACUUCAUCCACAUUGCCUACAACCACAUGGUUAAAAACCUUUAAAAUAUAGGUAAGAGGCAAUACUACGCACUAUGAUACUGUUGCUAAUACAGCUGCAUCUGGAGUCCUUUCAGCUGGCAUUAAUUCAGGUGUUCCGUGCAUAUUUGGAGUCUUCACAUGUGAAGAUAUGCAUCAGGCCUUGUUGGUGGUAAAGCAGGGAACAAGGGCUCUGAGGCAGCUUUGACUGCUCAAUAAUUAGGUUUAAGAAAAAGUGAGAUGUUACUAGAGAGGAGAGGAGUUUUUGCUGGUUCAGAUCUUUGAAUAAAGUUGUGGAUCAUAUCUUAAGGGGAUUGCUGUUGUUGCUCUUUUGAGUUGGGAACUCGCUUCUGACUCUUUAAUACUUUAAAGAAAAGUUUGAAGCUGCUGGUGUGAAGCUAAUGGCGAUUGAUAAAGUUAUAUGUUUUUAUCAAUAUUUCAUGUGUUGCUUCAAAGGCGUGAUGCUAAAUCUCAGCUUGGUUCAUAUCAGCUUCAUGUUCAUUUGUUUUGAUUAAGAUCAGUUUUUGAUUUGUUAUUUUAAUGUAGUAAGUUUUGAUUAUGAUUGGCUGUUGAUGAAGAGACUUAUUAGUUCUGGUUAUGAUUCUUGCAUUUGACGUGUUAAGUCGUGUAUAUUUCGGACAAUCGGUUCAAUUAGACAGUUGCUAGAUUAAAUUUGACCUGGUUUUUGUUUAGAUGAAAGAUGAUUUAAGUUGCGUGAUUCAUCUCAACUUCAUAUGCAUUUGUUUUUAUUAAGACGCUCUUAGAUUUGUGUAGUAUGUUUCGAUUAUGAUGGUUGUUGAUGAAGGGGCUGGUC